UAGGGAAUCUUCCACAAUGGACGCAAGUCUGAUGGAGCAACGCCGCGUGAGUGAAGAAGGUUUUCGGACCGUAAAGCUCUGUUGUUGGUGAAGAAGGAUAGAGGUAGUAACUGGCCUUUAUUUGACGGUAAUCAACCAGAAAGUCACGGCUAACUACGUGCCAGCAGCCGCGGUAAUACGUAGGUGGCAAGCGUUGUCCGGAUUUAUUGGGCGUAAAGCGAGCGCAGGCGGAAGAAUAAGUCUGAUGUGAAAGCCCUCGGCUUAACCGAGGAAUUGCAUCGGAAACUGUUUUCCUGAGUGCAGAAGAGGAGAGUAGAACUCCAUGUGUAGCGGUGGAAUGCGUAGAUAUAUGGAAGAAUACCAGUGGCGAAGGCGGCUCUCUGGUCUGCAACUGACGCUGAGGCUCGAAAGCAUGGGUAGCGAACAGGAUUAGAUACCCUGGUAGUCCAUGCCGUAAACGAUGAGUGCUAAGUGUUGGGAGGCUUCCGCCUCUCAGUGCUGCAGCUAACGCAUUAAGCACUCCGCCUGGGGGAGUACGACCGCAAGGUUGAAAC
rnacentral:rRNA from 1 species